rnacentral:lncRNA from 1 species
CUUAAAUAUAAGUGCCAGGUCAUUUUGACUCCUUUAAAGAACAUUUUGUUUUGUUUAGUUUUUUCACACAGAGUUUGCUCCACAACACCUUUAUUUCAUGUGUAGUUCUUGUAAAAUCAUUAGCAUCACUGCAUCUCCUAGCUAAGUUUUACUAUGAUUCCCUCUUAAGGCUUGUAUUCCAUUUGAUCCUAUUUCAUUAUUUCCUCAAAGUAUGUCCUACAUUUAGCCAUCUCUUAACUCAUCCACAAGACUCUGGCCACAGACUACCCUGAUCAAUCACAUAAGUGGAAACUGAAAAAUGGAUGGAGAAGUGAGGUUUUAUUGAAGGAUAGAAUGAACUU